rnacentral:rRNA from 1 species
GUGAGGAAUAUUGGUCAAUGGGCGCAAGCCUGAACCAGCCAUGCCGCGUGCAGGAUGACUGCCCUAUGGGUUGUAAACUGCUUUUAUACGGGAAGAAACCCCUCCACGUGUGGAGGAUUGACGGUACCGUAAGAAUAAGGAUCGGCUAACUCCGUGCCAGCAGCCGCGGUAAUACGGAGGAUCCAAGCGUUAUCCGGAAUCAUUGGGUUUAAAGGGUCCGUAGGCGGGUCUGUAAGUCAGUGGUGAAAUCUCCCGGCUCAACCGGGAAACUGCCAUUGAUACUGCAGGUCUUGAAUGUUUGUGAAGUAACUAGAAUAUGUAGUGUAGCGGUGAAAUGCUUAGAUAUUACAUGGAAUACCGAUUGCGAAGGCAGGUUACUAACAAAUGAUUGACGCUGAUGGACGAAAGCGUGGGGAGCGAACAGGAUUAGAUACCCGUGUAGUCC